AUGAGUUCAGUCAGUAGCAGCAGUGUUCUCCAUUCAGAGCCCUUUGCCCUUCAUUGCAGACUUUAAUUACUCAAUAUAGUUCGGAAAGCUAACAGUUAACGUUAAUGCUAACGCGAAGAGGUAGCAAGUGUUAGCUUAUUGCGUAACGUUAGUGUACUAAACAAGACACUUUUGUGGCGUGAAUAUCCUAAAAAUCUCCUUAUUACAAAGUGAGCAAAGUGGGAACAAUUAAUUUAUUCACGAGGGCCUCAGUCUUAAAUACAAACUCGACAAUGAGUUUGAGUUGAUUUUUGUGGUGGGUUUUCAAAAGAUCCUGACGCUGACGUAUGUGGACAAGUUCAUAGAUAGUCAUUUUUGACCCAUGUCUGCAUAAGAACUGUACAUAC